rnacentral:rRNA from 1 species
UACGGGGGGGGCAAGCGUUGUUCGGAAUUACUGGGCGUAAAGGGCUCGUAGGUGGCCAACUAAGUCAGACGUGAAAUCCCUCGGCUUAACCGGGGAACUGCGUCUGAUACUGGAUGGCUUGAGUUUGGGAGAGGGAUGCGGAAUUCCAGGUGUAUCGGUGAAAUGCGUAGAUAUCUGGAGGAACACCGGUGGCGAAGGCGGCAUCCUGGACCAACACUGACACUGAGGAGCGAAAGCCAGGGGAGCAAACGGG